rnacentral:lncRNA from 1 species
UUCUACCCUAGUCGACACCAACUAAUCAUCAUUUCACCGCCGCAACCACCAUCAACUACAUCUCAAAUCCACAAUCACCAUCACCAAUUUCACCUCCAACUCACGACCACUACAAUCAUCUCAAAUUCACCAUCACUUGCACCGCAAAUCCACCCCCACCUGUACCUCAAAUAUACAACAAUCACCACCAUCUCCCUUCUAGAUCUACUACACGUUGGACCACCACCAACUACAGUGCCAUCACCGG